AUUGAACGCUAGCGGGAUGCUUUACACAUGCAAGCCGAACUAGUGGCGGACGGGUGAGUAAUAUAUCGGACCGUGCCCAGUAGCGGGGGAUAACUACUCGAAAGAGUGGCUCAUCCCGCAUACUAUUGGAGCGGCCGAUAUCGGAUUAGCUAGUUGGUCGGGUAAAGGCGCACCAAGGCAACGAUCCGUAGCUGGUUUGAGAGGCCGACCAGCCACACUGGGAAUGGGACACGGCCCAGACUCCUACGGGAUGCAGCAGUGGUGAAUUUUGGACAAUGGGGGAAACCCUGAUCCAGCCAUCCCGCGUGUAUGAGAAGGCCUUCGGGUUGUAAAGUACUUUUGGCAGAGAAGCGGUAUCUGCAGAAUAAGCACCGGCUAAGUACGUGCCAGCCGCCGCGGUAAUUC
rnacentral:rRNA from 1 species